GUGAGAAAGUAGACGGGAUCAAUACCUUAAGAAAAACCGAUCACCAUACUUAAAGGUUGUUUCAGCGAUGGUGAGCAAUGAUCUCUUAAGCCUUGUGAACAAUAGGCCUCUAAAAUUCUGGAAAGAAACCCUUGCUCUUCUUUGCAGCGUAAGUCUCAUUGGUCUUUGCUGCUGAUCUAACUGUGUUUUAGUUUGCUCAUAGAGAUGAAUGGACUAUGCUUUGUGACACACUUGCUUCAAAAUUCAUGGGGGC